GAUGAAGAACGUAGCGAAACGCGAUAUGUAAUGUGAAUUGCAGAAUUCAGUGAAUCAUCGAAUCUUUGAACGCACAUGGCGCCUUCCAGUAUCCUGGGAGGCAUGCCUGUCCGAGCGUCGUUUCAACCCUCGAGCCCCCGGGCUUGGUGUUGGGGAUCGGCGAGCCUCCGCGCCCGCCGUCCCCUAAAUCUAGUGGCGGUCUCGCUGUAGCUUCCUCUGCGUAGUAGCACACCUCGCACUGGGAAACAGCGCGGCCACGCCGUUAAACCCCCAACUUCUGAACGUUUGACCUCGGAUCAGGUAGGAAUACCCGCUGAACUUAAGCAUAUCAAUAAGCGGAGGA
rnacentral:misc_RNA from 1 species